rnacentral:rRNA from 1 species
CACGUAGUUAGCCGGAGCUUUCUUCUCAGGUACAGUCUUUUUUCUUCCCUGAGGACAAUAGUUUACAAUCCGAAAACCUUCUUCCUAUACGCGGCGUCACUGCGUCAGAGUUGCCUCCAUUGCGCAAUAUUCCCGACUGCUGCCUCCCGUAGGAGUCUGGGCCGUAUCUCAGUCCCAAUGUGGCCGCUCAACCUCUCAGUCCGGCUACUGAUCGUCGCCUUGGUAGGCCGUUACCCCACAACUAGCUAAUCAGCCGCAAGCUCAUCUAUCAGCGAAUUGCUUCUUUCCCACUAUCAUCAUGCGAUGACUAUGGCAUAUGCGGUAUUAGCAGUGAUUUCUCACUGUUAUUCCCCUCUGAUAGGCAGAUUUCUUACGUGUUACUCACCAGUCCGCCACUAACCGCUUACCUUGCAAGCAAGGUAUUAAGUUCGUUCGACUUGCAUGUUCUUAUGUGCGCCGCAGUCGUUUUAUCCUG